AGCCAUGAUGUUAAGAAGUUCAGUGUAGGCAGGAGAAAAAAAUCUUGAGGAGUAUGUUCAUAUGGUCAAGGAUGGUAUCAUCGACCCUGUGAAAGUGAUCCAAACUACACUUCAAAAUGCAGCAAGAACAAGUACUCUGAUGAUGGCAAGAAGCAUAAUGUUAAAUGAACUGGGUAAUGUUGAGGUUGAUGAUAGCUUGCUUGUGUAAGUUUUUAUAAGUUG